rnacentral:rRNA from 1 species
UACGGGGGGCAAGGCGUUGUUCGGAAUUACUGGGCGUAAAGGGCGCAGGUAGGCGGCCUGCGUAAGGUCGGACGUGAAAAUCCCCAGGCUUAAACCUGGGAAGCUGACCGUGCGGAUACUGGAUUGGACUUGAAUCCGGGAGAGGGAUGCAGAAUUCCGAAGGUGUAGCGGUGAAAUGACGUAGAUAUCUGGAGGAAUACCGGUGGCGAAGGCGGCAUCCUGGACCGGCAUUGACGCUGAAGCGCGAAAGCUAGGGGAGCAAACGGG